GUCUAUGGCCAUACUUCCUGGAACAUGCCUAAUCUUGUCUGAUCUCAGAAGCCAAGCAAGGUUGAGCCUGGUUAGUACUUGAAUGGGAGAGAAGUAAAUAACCGGGUAAAUU
rnacentral:rRNA from 1 species